rnacentral:rRNA from 1 species
AGAGUUUGAUCCUGGCUCAGAACGAACGCUGGCGGCGUGCCUAACACAUGCAAGUCGAGCGCGAAAGGGGGGGCAACUCCCCGAGUAGAGCGGCGCACGGGUGAGUAACGCGUGGGUAAUCUACCUCCGGGCGGGGGAUAACGACUCGAAAGGGUCGCUAAUACCGCAUGAGACCACGGGGUCUUCGGAUCCUGAGGCCAAAGGUUGCAUCGGCUUGCCGAUGCUGUCACCGGGAGAUGAGCCCGCGUCCGAUUAGCUAGUUGGCGGGGUAACGGCCCACCAAGGCUCCGAUCGGUAGCUGGUCUGAGAGGAUGGCCAGCCACACUGGAACUGGAACACGGUCCAGACUCCUACGGGAGGCAGCAGUGAGGAAUAUUGCGCAAUGGGGGAAACCCUGACGCAGCAACGCCGCGUGGGUGAAGAAGGCCUUCGGGUCGUAAAGCCCUUUCGGACGGGACGAACGCUUCGCGGUGACAAGCCGCGAAGCUUGACGGUACCGUAGGAAGAAGCACCGGCUAACUCCGUGCCAGCAGCCGCGGUAAUACGGAGGGUGCGAGCGUUGUUCGGAAUUACUGGGCGUAAAGCGCGUGUAGGCGGCCCUGUAAGUCAGAUGUGAAAGCCCCCGGCUUAACCGGGGAAGUGCAUCUGAAACUGCUUGGCUUGAGUACCGGAGAGGGAGGCGGAAUUCCCAGUGUAGAGGUGAAAUUCGUAGAUAUUGGGAGGAACACCGGUGGCGAAAGCGGCCUCCUGGACGGAUACUGACGCUGAGACGCGAAAGCGUGGGGAGCAAACAGGAUUAGAUACCCUGGUAGUCCACGCUGUAAACGAUGGGCACUAGGUGUGGGGGGUAUCCACUCCUCCCGUGCCGCAGCUAACGCAUUAAGUGCCCCGCCUGGGGAGUACGGCCGCAAGGCUAAAACUCAAA